rnacentral:rRNA from 1 species
CGCCUGUUUAUCAAAAACAUAACCAUAUGCUAUUACUUAUGGCGACUUCUGCUCAAUGAUUUUAAAUAGCCGCAGUACUCUGACUGUGCAAAGGUAGCAUAAUAAUUUGGCUCAUAAUUGGAGUCUGGCAUGAAUGAAUUUAUGGCUAGUGACUGUCUUCAAAGGAUGUAGUAAACUUACUAAGCAAGUGAAAAUUCUUGCAGGAACCUAAAAGACGAGAAGACCCUUGAAAUUUUUACAAAUUGGUGUGAUACACUGCACGUUUUUGUUGGGGCGACAAAAUAACAACUAACUUAUUGUUGUAGAUUUGAACUAAAUGUUGUGAAUAAGUAAAUUACUCUAGGGAUAACAGCAUAAUUUUGAAUAGUUUGUGACCUCGAUGUUGGAUUAGGAACCGUGUUACCCAGAAGGUAACGUGGCACGUUCUGUUCGAACGUUUCACCCCUACGUGAUCUGAGUUCAGACCGG